GGCGCUAUGGCUGAGUGGUUAAAGCGACAGACUAGAAUCUGAUCCUUAAGGAUUGGAAGUCAAUCUGUUCCGGUCUCCGGGCGCAGGUUCGAAUCCUGCUGGCGUCG